rnacentral:lncRNA from 1 species
UGGAAGAGAGUUCAUCGUAAAUAAGUUUGAAGAGAAAUUUGGUAAGAGAUGGAUAUGGGACAGGUUUAAGAACAAGGUUGAUAUUAGUAGAAAAGCAUAUGUCAAGUUCAAGAAGCUUACCCACAAUAGAACCGGGCUUGUCUAUGAUGCUUUGGGAAGGUUGGAGAUGUCGGAUGCUUGGUGGGAUCAACGCAUUGCGGUAAGUAUCUUUCUCUUAGUCUUCAGUGCUUUAAUAAUGUCAGUAUUAGAGUUCUCUUUCUGCUUAGAGUGAAAAAUAUUAGACAUUGAAUCAGUAUUAGCUUGAAAAAAAUAUUAGACAUUGAAAAAUACUGUAUGUUUCAAAUAUACUAAUUUUUUUCUUCUUAAACAGGAAUGGCAAGGUGCAAGAAUAUGACUCAGUAUGACUGUUUUAAUAUGACUCAGAUUGUAGUGUUUCUUUUAAGUAUGACUUUUGUUUCAUUUUUUUUGGUAUGAAUCAGAUUGUAGUAUUUUAAUGUGAUAGUACCAUUAUUCUCGUGUCUGCCUGCUCAAAUUGGAAGUUGGUUUUUUUUUAAUGUGAUAGGAAGUUGGGUUUUUUUUUUUCUGUCUCGCAACUUAUAUAUAUAUGUGAUUUUAAUGCUUUGCAGAUGGUUAGGUGGUACUUGGAUGAUGAUGAUGAGGAUGAUGAUUAUGAGGAAGAGCAUGAAGUUGAUGUGCUUAAGCCAGAGAGAUUGCUUCAUAGAACAGAUCGAGGUGCUGGAUGGAAUCAUGUUCAGCAGCUUAUGCACGGGUCAGAUCAACAGUGCUAUGAUAUUCUUCGCAUGAAUCAGAGGACAUUUCAAGAUCUGUGUAAGAUGUUAGCAACGAGAUAUGGGUUACAAGAGACGUUGAAUGUCUAUAUUGAAGAAGCGGUUGCAAUGUUCCUUGAAGUGGUGGGUCAAGAUAAGACAGUACGGGUUAUUGCACAAAGAUAUCAACGUUCGUUGGAUACAGUCAAAAGGAAACUUGGUGAGGUUUUGAGUUCUCUCUUGAAAUUUGCUGCAGAUACACUAAAACCAGAAGAUGGUGAGUUCACAAGAGUAUGUCCUGCUUUGAGAAAUGAUGAUCGAUACUGGCCAUUUUUUAAAGACUGUAUUGGAGCAUUGGAUGGAACUCAUAUCUCAGUCCGCCCUCCUAAACGAAAUGCAGAAGCAUACAGGGGCAGAAAACAGGAGCCAACCAUGAAUGUCCUUGCUAUAUGUAACUUUGAUAUGAAGUUCAUAUAUGCUUAUGUGGGUGUGCCGGGUAGAGCCCAUGACACAAAGGUAUUAACUUAUUGUGCGAGGAAUGAGCCUUUUUUUCCACAUCCGCCAAAUGGAAAGUAUUAUUUGGUUGAUGCUGGAUAUCCCACAAGAACAGGGUAUCUUGGUCCAUAUCGUAGAGUUCGGUAUCAUCUCGAUCAGUUCAACAGAGGAGGACCGCCAACGAACACUCGAGAGAUGUUCAACCGGAGACAUUCAAGCUUGCGAUCAGUGAUUAAGCGGACAUUUGGAGUGUGGAAAGCAAAAUGGAGAAUUCUUGACUGUAGGCAUCCAAAAUAUGGUUUGAUCAAAUGGAUAAAGCUAGUGACGGCAACGAUGGCUCUACACAACUUCAUACGUGAUUCACAUCGAGAAGAUAAUGAUUUUGUGCAUUGGCAGAGAAGAGAAGAAUAUCAUACUCAUGGUGAUAAUGAUGAAGAAGAAAGAGAUGAAGAG